AGUUGAUAGGAAGAUCAGCAGUCAUUCUUGAGAUGUUUAGUUGGUAGCAGUGAUCUUUAAAUGAAAGAGUCGA